rnacentral:rRNA from 1 species
GCGGUGAAAUGCGUAGAUAUCGGGAAGAACACCUAUGGCGAAGGCAGCUCUCUGGGACGGUACUGACGCUGAGACGCGAAAGCGUGGGGAGCGAACAGGAUUAGAUACCCUGGUAGUCCACGCCGUAAACGAUGGGUGCUAGGUGUGGGCGGUGUCGACUCCGUCCGUGCCGAAGCUAACGCAUUAAGCACCCCGCCUGGGGAGUACGGCCGCAAGGCUAAAACUCAAAGGAAUUGACGG